UCCCGCUGUGGCGAAACUGGUAGACGCAGUAGCUUGGUAAGCUACCGAGCUUAGCUCAGUAGGGGUUCAAGUCCUCUCGGCGAAAUC
rnacentral:tRNA from 1 species